GCCUUGGAAGAGGCCUGGCCUGAUGAGGUCGUCCGGGUGGCUCGGCGGGAGGUAGAGGCGGCGGUAGGCCAGGCAGGGAGGCUGCAGAGAGC